GCAUCGGUGGUUCAGUGGUAGAAUGCUCGCCUGCCACGCCGGUGGCCCCGGUUCGAUUCCCAGCCGAUGCA
rnacentral:tRNA from 1 species